GUUCGGUGCUCGGAAGAAAGCACGUGGCUUGUUAAAUGCCAUCGUGGAUCUCUGCCAUAUGUUUGAGACUUUAGGCUGCGUUAUAGUAGUUUGGAGAAUAAGACUAGAACUUUCACAGCCAAGGAUCAUUUAAUGUUCAGCCUUUCCAUCUUUUUGGCAGCGCCGUGCAACCAUACACCGUUUCUUAACAAACACUUUUGCUGUGAUCUUAACUUCCUCCGCUGCAGUUUCAUGUUGCAAUUUUGAAAAGCAGUCUCGGCAGGUUUUUUGCACGCCAUGGAGGUUACAAAGUUUUUGGACGGACUGUUGAAAAAGUUGUUUUCUUCUAUCAAUCUUAUGUGUGCCAACUUCUCAGAUCUUAGGGGAGUUGUAGUAUUUCUUUCUUGCAUCACAAAUGACAAUGUUGGUUUUUGUUUGUCAAAUGAUAUACAAUGAAGUUUCAUUUUACGCU